rnacentral:rRNA from 1 species
UGAGGAAUAUUGGGCAAUGCCCGAAAGGGUGACCCAGCAACGCCGCGUGGAGGAUGAAGGUCGUAAGAUUGUAAACUCCUGUUAGAGGGGAAGAAUAACUAAGUUUGGAGCUUAGUAUGACUGUACCCUCAGAGAAAGCCCCGGCUAACUACGUGCCAGCAGCCGCGGUAAUACGUAGGGGGCAAGCGUUGUCCGGAUUUACUGGGUGUAAAGGGCGCGCAGGCGGAAUGGAAAGUCAGUGGUGAAAUCCUACCGCUUAACUGUAGAACUGCCUUUGAUACUUUCAUUCUUGAGUUCGGGAGAGAGAGACGGAAUUCCAGGUGUAGUGGUGAAAUACGUAGAUAUCUGGAAGAACACCAGUUGCGAAGGCGGUCUCUUGGUCCGAUACUGACGCUGAGGCGCGAAAGCGUGGGGAGCAAAC